CAAAAUAAAAACUCUUGUAGUCUUGGAUUUUUCCUUUUUUCCAUAUCGCAACAAACUAUUCUUAUAAUAAUAAUCAUCAAUAGUUUAACAAUAGAUGUAUGAUAGAUGCUAGAGGUGGGAACUUGGACUCGAGUUAUAUUUUGAAGACGAUCUUACAAUCAAAGACUCAAGACUUGACUUGGGCACCAUGGGCUAGUAUAUUGUGGAUUCAGGAAAAGCCAUAAUAGUUAACACUAUGGACUUAAAUAACAUCUGAGGACUAGAUGAAAUUAAUUCAAGAGCUUAGAUAUGACUUGAGAUUCGACGUGGACUUGCAGUUAUGAACUUUUUCCCCGGCCUGAUUAAUGAUGAUUCUCCUCUUUAUAUUCUUCACUUAGCGUUCCUUCGCUGAACCAGGGAGUACUAUAGAGAUGGAGAACGUACAGUUUUUUGUUUACUAGCUUAGUAGAUCUACCUUGUUUUUCUUUUUUAUUAGUCAUUAAAAGUAUCUUGAAGUUUUUACUAGAGAUGAUUCGUCUAUAAAUGAAGGAGGGGUAAGAUUUUAAUUAUUAUGUCAAGUUCUUUCUGCAUCCAACAAUAGGUGAACUCCAAGCUCGAGGGCCGGACCAACAACUUGCGGGGUCCCCAUACUGUAGGUAUAGAAAGAUGCUGGAUGUUCUGAUCAAUUUCUCUGCGGAGGUUUGGGGGACGUCGGACCUAUUAAGCACUUUUUGUAGUAAGUGCAGAGCGGGGCUCUAGGAUUUCAGCCCCUUAAGUCAUUAUGACAAAUUCGGGCCAGUCAUGGUGUCCUUUUAUUUCAUCGAAUGUUUGCAUUUAUAGCUAUUCUUCAUGAUUGAGUUACACUUCACUUGUUAUUACAUGGUUGUGGAGUCUUAUAAUGUUUUUAAAACUCCGACUCCACAACUCUAAAUCUAUUAUUCAUGAUAUAUAAUAAUAUCAAUUUUUAAUUUUUAGAUCUUACAAAUGCAUUGCUGCUGUCCUGCUUUCAUGAAUUUGAACCUGAGAAUCAAAAUGUGAACAAUUUUUUACCCUAUUUGAGUAGUUAAAGGGAGUAAUUCUUUAUUUUAGGGGAUAUCAUAGAUGCCCUCACUAACUUCAAGUAAAAAAGUAAUCAUCUUGAAUUUCUACAAGAGCAUCUAUUACUUCAUUCAAAAACUCCAUAUGGCAGGAAAUAUUAUCCUCUAAUUCUAGGGAAUGUCCGUUCUAUGGCAAACAACAAGUCCGACUUUAUAUCAACGAAUAAUUUCGUACGGCUUAAUUGUUUUCCCUCCAGAAAAACACAUCAAAAGACUAACCAGUAUUUUAUUGAUAGAAGCAGAAAUAGAUAACUCAACAUCUGACUAUUUUAGUUGUAAAAUAGCUUUGCUGGAAGCUAAGGACAGAAAUGUCUCUAUAUUAUCAUAGACGACGUGUAUUCAGCUCAAAGAGUUGAAUUCUGGGGUGGAAAGCUCUACGGAUAUGAGGAUAAUGGAUCAACCAAAAUAAUCUUGUGUUUUAUGUUUAAAAGUGUUCUAGACAGGUAUAACGACGUAUUUACAAUUGUUCCCCUAUCGAGGAUUGAUUCAAAAGUAAUGAAAACAUGGUUCUUCUAAGUUCUUAAACUUGUUACUGACGUCGGGCUUAGACCAGUUGCCAUUCGAUCAAUCCUGAUUUUUUUAAAGAACGAAUAAGGAAAUGGUUCUACCCCACUCCAUAUUGAAAAUCCGUUCUCCACCUCAAAAAGAGUUAUUCUAUUUCGUCCGUCUUUUUAAAACCAUGAUGAACAAUUAGAAGCUCACUCUCACCAUAUUGUCAAAAUUUGUCAAAAAGAAAUGGGCCUAUCAAUCAAAUAUACACAUUCAAUCUCUCACCAAGUCUUAUUUCCUCAAUCUAUUGAAAAAAUCAAAGUCAAUAUAUCAUUGAAGUUCACUUAUCAUUCUACUGCAUAUAUAAGCGUUGAAACAUUAUGGAAAUAGCAAGGUCUCCUGCAUCCUAUUUUAGGAGUAAAUGAAAGUUGUAGGGAUAUGCUUAGCUCAUCUAAAUAUUUUAAGGGAUAAAAAUGGUAGCCAUCAAUUUAUUGAUUAUUUAUUUAAUGAACCUAAUAAGGGUGGACUUGUGAGCCAAAUAUUUUUAUGUUUCUGACUGCAUUUCAUAUUUAUAAUUUACUUAAGUUUUUAUUUGUUUGUGAUAUUAUAAAAAAAUAUCUUUCUUCUUAUAAAGAUCCUGGAAAUGUAAUUAAAUCUUGUCUAAAGGAAAUACUGAUGCUUCAAGAUAAUGUGGCAUAAUGUGGACAGAUGGUCAUGAGUUUUGAAUUUUGUUGCUUCUAAAUUGUUAGAUUUAUUUUCAAACAAUUAUAUUAUAGAUAUGAAUGGUCAGGUUCAUUAAAAAAACCAAGAACACCAAAAAAUAAUAAAUAAUGGAAAAAAAAUUAAAACAUUAAGUACAUUAUUGUACUUUGUAAGGGUUUGCAUGUAAUAUAUUGAUAAAUAUAAAGUUAUAAUUACUAA
rnacentral:lncRNA from 1 species